UACGGAGGGUGCAAGCGUUAUCCGGAUUCACUGGGUUUAAAGGGUGCGUAGGUGGGUUGGUAAGUCAGUGGUGAAAUCCCCGAGCUUAACUUGGGAACUGCCAUUGAUACUGGGGAUCUCGAGUCCGGAAGAGGUGAGUGGAACUCCGAGUGUAGAGGUGAAAUUCGUAGAUAUUCGGAAGAACACCAGUGGCGAAGGCGGCUCACUGGUCCGGUACUGACGCUGAGGUGCGAAAGCGUGGGGAGCAAACAGG
rnacentral:rRNA from 1 species